GACGAACGCUGGCGGCGUGCUUAACACAUGCAGGUCGAACGGAAAGGCCCUGCUUUUGUGGGGUGCUCGAGUGGCGAACGGGUGAGUAACACGUGAGUAACCUGCCCAUGACUUUGGGAUAACUUCAGGAAACUGGGGCUAAUACCGGAUAGGAGCUCCUGCUGCAUGGUGGGGGUUGGAAAGUUUCGGCGGUUGGGGAUGGACUCGCGGCUUAUCAGCUUGUUGGUGGGGUAGUGGCUUACCAAGGCUUUGACGGGUAGCCGGCCUGAGAGGGUGACCGGCCACAUUGGGACUGAGAUACGGCCCAGACUCCUACGGGAGGCAGCAGUGGGGAAUAUUGCACAAUGGGCGGAAGCCUGAUGCAGCAACGCCGCGUGCGGGAUGACGGCCUUCGGGUUGUAAACCGCUUUCGCCUGUGACGAAGCGUGAGUGACGGUAAUGGGUAAAGAAGCACCGGCUAACUACGUG
rnacentral:rRNA from 1 species